GACAGAGGUGCCGAGCGUUAGUCGGAAUCACUGGGCUUAAAGCGUGUGUAGGCGGAUGGGUAAGUACCUUGUGAAAUCCCACGGCUCAACCGUGGAACUGCUCGGUAUACUGCUCGUCUUGAGCCAACUAGGGGCGACCGGAACAAACGGUGGAGCGGUGAAAUGCGUAGAUAUCGUUUGGAACACCGAUGGUGAAAACAGGUCGCUGGGGUUGUGCUGACGCUGAGACACGAAAGCCAGGGGAGCGAACGGG
rnacentral:rRNA from 1 species